CCUACGGGAGGCUGCAGUGGGGAAUAUUGCACAAUGGGCGCAAGCCUGAUGCAGCGACGCCGCGUGAGGGAUGACGGCCUUCGGGUUGUAAACCUCUUUCAGCAGGGAAGAAGCCACAAGUGACGGUACCUGCAGAAGAAGCGCCGGCUAACUACGUGCCAGCAGCCGCGGUAAUACGUAGGGCGCAAGCGUUGUCCGGAAUUAUUGGGCGUAAAGAGCUCGUAGGCGGUUUGUCGCGUCUGCUGUGAAAGCCCGGGGCUCAACCCCGGGUCUGCAGUGGGUACGGGCAGACUAGAGUGCAGUAGGGGAGACUGGAAUUCCUGGUGUAGCGGUGAAAUGCGCAGAUAUCAGGAGGAACACCGAUGGCGAAGGCAGGUCUCUGGGCUGUUACUGACGCUGAGGAG
rnacentral:rRNA from 1 species